CAACGGGAGAGACAGCUGGAGUAUCUAAACCAAGAGCUUUGAUCUUAGUAUCUGUAAAAAAGAGGUCAUUUGGUCUCCCAGGAAGCAGAGACAUUUAGAAGGUCCCUGUACAACUCAUGCAAGUAUUUUAUUAACGACAAUUUUUAUUCAAAUGUAGUGCUCUGGACCACUCUGUCUGGAUUUUGUCUGAUGUCAUUUUAAGCUUGACCAGUAGAAGGAAGAUUGGACAAGGAGAUACUGAGAAGGAGGGCAAAAUCAUCAGUUCCCUACAGGAGCUUCAGAUCUUCGAGCUCACGGGGAAAACUACCCUCACCCACCCUGCAGGAGGAGCACAAUGGCACCCUCUGUUGCCCUGCAUGCUGCUCCCAUGUGGAUGUAUGAACUCCCAAAGGUGAAUGUUGUUGAAGCAAGAGCAGGACCUGAGCCUGUUUCCAUUGCCCGAUUGAUAACCGGUUGGGAACUUGACCUCCAAGAUUGUAACUGAAGGUGGACUUGAGAUCUCCCCAGUGGAAGAUACUUAACACAUUUCCCUUUCUUUUUACAUCCAUCUGACAUGUUUUUGGCUAACUUCUGAGCUACCUUGCAUGUAAAACCUUGAACCACAAUUGUAAACUCUCUACUUUCCUUUAUUCGUACAGUAUUUGAUUUGGAUGACAUGUUUUUUAUAAUAUUUAUUUUCUGGACCAUUUUGCGACUCAUGUGUUAAUGCCACAAGAACUUCACUCCUUGUAUAAUAUUUCAGACAUGGAGGGGAAAAAAAUGAAGUAAAAAAAAAGAAAAAAAAGAAGAAAAAAAAAGCAAAACCAA